AUUGAACGCUGGCGGCAGGCCUAACACAUGCAAGUCGAGCGGUAGCACAGGGGAGCUUGCUCCUUGGGUGACGAGCGGCGGACGGGUGAGUAAUGUCUGGGGAUCUGCCCGAUGGAGGGGGAUAACUACUGGAAACGGUGGCUAAUACCGCAUGAUGUCGCGAGGCCAAAGUGGGGGACCUUCGGGCCUCACACCAUCGGAUGAACCCAGAUGGGAUUAGCUAGUAGGUAGGGUAAUGGCCUACCUAGGCGACGAUCUCUAGCUGGUCUGAGAGGAUGACCAGCCACACUGGGACUGAGACACGGCCCAGACUCCUACGGGAGGCAGCAGUGGGGAAUAUUGCACAAUGGGCGCAAGCCUGAUGCAGCCAUGCCGCGUGUAUGAAGAAGGCCUUCGGGUUGUAAAGUACUUUCAGCGAGGAGGAAGGGGGUAGACUUAAUACGUUUACUCAUUGACGUUACUCGCAGAAGAAGCACCGGCUAACUCCGUGCCAGCAGCCGCAGUAAAAC
rnacentral:rRNA from 1 species